rnacentral:rRNA from 1 species
UACGGAGGCAGCAGUGGGGAAUAUUGCACAAUGGGCGCAAGCCUGAUGCAGCCAUGCCGCGUGUGUGAAGAAGGCCUUCGGGUUGUAAAGCACUUUCAGUCAGGAGGAAAGGUUAGUAGUUAAUACCUGCUAGCUGUGACGUUACUGACAGAAGAAGCACCGGCUAACUCCGUGCCAGCAGCCGCGGUAAUAC